AUUGAACGCUGGCGGCAGGCCUAACACAUGCAAGUCGAGCGGAGCGGCGGACGGGUGAGUAAUGCCUAGGAAUCUGCCUGGUAGUGGGGGAUAACGUACGGAAACGGGCGCUAAUACCGCAUACUAUCAGAUGAGACUAGGGCGGAUUAGCGAGUGGGUGGGGGCAAGGCAUACCCAGGCGACGAUCCGGAACUGGUCUGAGAGGAUGAUCAGUCACACUGGAACUGAGACACGGUCCAGACUCAUACGGGAGGCAGCAGUGGGGAAUAUUGGACAAUGGGCGAAAGCCUGAUCCAGCCAGGCCGCGUGUGUGAAGAAGGUCUUCGGAUUGUAAAGCACUUUAAGUUGGGAGGCGUUACCAACAGAAUAAGCACCGGCUAACUUCGUGCCAGCAGCCGCGGUAAUUC
rnacentral:rRNA from 1 species